UGGGAGGGCCAAAGUUUGCCCAUGCCUGCACUAGAUCCUAUCUGAUCUUUUAAGUUAAACCUGCUUAGCCUGGUGAGUACUUGGUUGGGAGAUUGCCAGUGAAUACUAGGUGCCUUAGCCA
rnacentral:rRNA from 1 species